GGGCCAGUCCCAAAUUGUUGACUGACCCAUCAGGCCCGUCCGGGUCCGGUACCUCCAAAAAAGAAAAGAAAAACAGGAUGGCCUCAAUCCUCAUCAGACGAAAUAAAAUGGAGCACGUCUUUCCGACGGCGGCCAUUUCAAAAUUUUGAAAUCGCCCUCGGGGCCGGAGCAACACAGGAGAAGCGUCAGGCCUCGCCUCUCCUCCCCCGCCUCCUGCUGGCCUCGUCGCCCACCCGCCGCCGAAUAGCCCCCGCCUCGCCGCCGCUCUCUCCGCCCCCGCAGGCAGUGUUGAUUUGAAGAGGAAGCAUUCGUAAUACUGGAGUUAUGGGAGAUUCUGUACUAGUUGUGUGUGUAAUACCAAAUGCUGCAGACACUGCAUUUCAGAUUCAUUGCUUGGAGCGAUCGGCAUAUGCUGCUGUGUUGAGAGCGUUCUGUGCUCAAUCAGACCUCCUCUCUAGGGCCAAACACGGAUGUCUCGCGGAACUGAGAAAUGAGCUUAAAAUAUUGGAGAGUGAACACAGAGAAUGUCUUGGGAAGGCCAGAUCAAAUAAGCAAAUCAAUUCUUUGAGUACUGGCUUGCACUCCAAAGGAAACACUUGCAAUGCUGAAGUUAUGAAGGAUACUCCAGAUCUUGCAUGUGUAUUACCAGAUGCUGGAGAUACUGUAUUUCAGAUUCACUGCUUGGAGCGGUCAGCAUAUGCAUCUGUUUUAAGAGCUUUCUUUGCCUUGACAAACCACCUCUCAUUGGUAUUCCUCUUUUUUUGUAUACAAGUUCUAAAUACGAGUACUCAAAUCAUAGAAAAUAUAAAC